rnacentral:rRNA from 1 species
UACCCGCAGCUCAAGUGGUGGUCAUUAUUAUUGGGCCUAAAGCGUCCGUAGCUGGCCUGUUAGAUGCCUGGGUAAAUCGAUGCGCUCAACGUAUCGAAUUCCGGGUAGACCGGCAGGCUCGAGACCGGGAGAGGUGUAGGCUACUCGCGGGGUAGGGGUAAAAUCCUGUAAUCCUGCGGGGAGGACCAGUGGCGAAGGCGCUACACUAGAACGGCGUCUGACAGUGAGGGAACGAAGCC